rnacentral:rRNA from 1 species
UACAGAGGAGCCAAGCGUUGUCCGGAUUGACUGGGCGUAAAGCGCACGCAGGCGGCCGCGCGCGUGGGGUGUGAAAUCUGGCCGCUUAACGGCCAGGCGCCAUCCCAUACGGCGCGGCUGGAGCCAUGCAGAGGGCGGUGGAAUUGCCGGUGUAGUGGUGAAAUGCGUAGAGAUCAGGAAGAACACCCGUGGCGCAAGCGGCCACCUGGCAGAGUUCUGACGCUGAGGCACGAGAGCGUGGGGAGCGAACCGG